rnacentral:rRNA from 1 species
AGUGAACGCUGGCGGUAGGCCUAACACAUGCAAGUCGAACGGCAGCACAGUAAGAGCUUGCUCUUACGGGUGGCGAGUGGCGGACGGGUGAGGAAUACAUCGGAAUCUACUUUUUCGUGGGGGAUAACGUAGGGAAACUUACGCUAAUACCGCAUACGACCUACGGGUGAAAGCAGGGGAUCUUCGGACCUUGCGCGAUUGAAUGAGCCGAUGUCGGAUUAGCUAGUUGGCGGGGUAAAGGCCCACCAAGGCGACGAUCCGUAGCUGGUCUGAGAGGAUGAUAAGCCACACGGGAACUGAGACACGGUCCAGACCCCUACGGGAGGCAGCAUGGGGAAAUAUUGGAAAAGGGGCGCAAGCCUGAUCCAGCCAUACCGCGGGGGUGAAGAAGGCCUGCGGGUUGUAAAGCCCUUUUGUUGGGAAAGAAAAGCAGCAGGUUAAUACCCCGCUGUUCGGACGGUACCCAAAGAAUAAGCACCGGCUAACUUCGG